rnacentral:rRNA from 1 species
CGAUGCGCUUAGGGGACACACCCGUUCCCAUCCCGAACACGAUGGUUAAGACCUAAGCGGCCGAUGGUACUUUACUGGAGACGGUACGGGAGAGUAGGUGGCUGCCAGAC